rnacentral:sRNA from 1 species
AUGGACCACGCGGUUCUGAGCGCGCCGCACGCACUCACCUCACGACCGCUCGCUACGGUUUGUUGGCC